CAUUUAAAUCUGUCACAAAAAACCAUAAAUACCAUCCAAAAUAUGCCAUUAUAAAGCAACACAUAAAUCAAAAUCUCUCCAAUGGCUUUGUUCAACUCCUAUUCAUUCCUUCUCUUGGUAUUUCUAGCUAUUAUCGGUUUGGCUUUUGCUAGGAAUUUAGAUGAAAAAGUUAAAGUGAGUUGCUAUGAGAUAUGCAGAGAUGCAUCUUCCAAUGACAAGUGUUUGGCGUUUUGCAUAAGGAGAUCUUUUGAUAACGGCGGUUGUAUUUUAGACCCAAACACUCAGAUAGCCAGCUGUUGCUGUGUUAUUUAAAUUACGAAAUUCACUUUUAUUUAAGUUUUAAUUCAAUGUAGUUAUAAUAAAUAUUAAUGAAAAAUUAAUAAUUUUCUAUUA